rnacentral:rRNA from 1 species
GACGAACGCUGGCGGCGUGCCUAAUACAUGCAAGUAGAACGCACAGUUUAUACCGUAGCUUGCUACACCAUAGACUGUGAGUUGCGAACGGGUGAGUAACGCGUAGGUAACCUGCCUGGUAGCGGGGGAUAACUAUUGGAAACGAUAGCUAAUACCGCAUAAUAUUGAUUAUUGCAUGAUAAUUGAUUGAAAGAUGCUAUUGCAUCACUACCAGAUGGACCUGCGUUGUAUUAGCUAGUAGGUGAGGUAACGGCUCACCUAGGCGACGAUACAUAGCCGACCUGAGAGGGUGAUCGGCCACACUGGGACUGAGACACGGCCCAGACUCCUACGGGAGGCAGCAGUAGGGAAUCUUCGGCAAUAGACGAAAGUCUGACCGAGCAACGCCGCGUGAGUGAAGAAGGUUGUCGGAUCGUAAAGCUCUGUUGUAAGAGAAGAACGGGUGUGAGAGUGGAAAGUUCACACUGUGACGGUAUCUUACCAGAAAGGGACGGCUAACUACGUG